CGCGCUCGUUGCCAUGGCAGCAGUGGGACGCUGGGGCGGCUUUAGAUUUAGAGCAUUUGAGUUAUUGAUAUGGUGAAGGUUUUCGCGGCCGAGAACGGCUAAGGGCUGUUUCUCUGUUGUUUCUUGUCGCGCUCACUUCUUCGUGACGCCCGCCUCUGACGACUGGUACGGACGUCGCCGAGCCACCCUGGCCGAGGGAGAUUCCUUUGUCAGCCUGAGAUUCUAAAUCUGCAAAAUGGGGAUAUAAGACUAGCUCCUGGGACAUUUGUGCAUGAGACAUUUGCGGUGGCGUGGGGACGGCACAUGACAUUCAAAUAGGAAUAAUGAAGGUCAAGACUGUCUCCUGGAUCUUCGAGUCUCUCAGUAUAAGCACGGUCGUGGGCCCGGAGCGGUUGCCUUUUACAGGAGUUUGAUUAAGUGAAGGAUUAAAUGGGCAAACUCCCAAGUAUUCUGCCAGGCAAUCUUUUCAUUCUCUUCCUUUCCAACAGGUUGGUAAAUAAAUCAGUUCACUGAUCUAAUAAAAAUGUACCUAGUGCCUACAAUGUGCCAGGCUCCGGGAAUCAAAGGAACUGACAAGCAGGGACACUCCUAGAGAAACCCUCACCAGCUCUGGAUUCCGCGUCAGCACACAGGCUCUAGAGUUCCAAUCUCAGCUCCACCACUUAACAACUGUGAAACCAGGCAAGGCAUUGAUUACCUUUCCUGAAGCAAAAUGGUUGUGAUAAAAUAGCAUCUGUGAGCACUGUCCUGAGAUAGCUGAGAGGAGGUUCUGCAGGCCUGGGGCGUUACUGUGUGGCAAGCAUCCUCAAAAGGUGAUAAAGGUGAGGUGAGCGCCAGCUCCAGGUAUGUCCCUCAACUGCGUGGCAUCUGCUGGCGGAGGCAGGGGGUGGAGGCAGCUGUCACGUAAGAAGUCUGGCUAUCCUGAGACCGCCAUCCGCAAGAAGUCCAGACUGGCAUGUGGAGAGAGUACACGAGAGUGAUGCCUGCAGAUCAUCCAACACCUGAGCCCAGGCACCAGACACCCGAAUGCAGGACCCUACAGUGGACCAUCUGACUAGGGUGACAAGCCCCGGCCACCAUCUGACUCCGAGGACCACCGGGGUUGCUCUAGUUGACUCCCAGAGCUGAGAGGUUGCACAAGGCAUGGUUUUAAGUCCCAAAGCCAGGGGCCGGUUAGUCACACAGUGAGGGACGGGCGGAACCAUGAAUGAGCCUGGAUGCCUUCCGGGACACUGACACUCCACAGCGGCACGUGGCUUAGUCUGAAUUUUCAGUUUUUGUCACAAAAGAACACAUAUCGUGGCCUGAGCUUGACAGAACGGAAGAUCCAGACCAGCCUGAGAUGGGCAAAAAGUAGCUGAGAUCACGCCCCUCGAGGGUCAUGAGCUUCCUGGGCCCACGACUCCGGUAGCAGCCCAUCCCACUGCCGUCUCAAGACCGGGAAGACACGAGCUGCUUCCCUCUGUGAGCUCAUCACUUCCCAGGCAUCACACCCACCUCACCCACCAGCCCCUCCCAAUAAACCCAGGAAGUUCUAACUUCCCCCUUUUACAGAUGAAGAAACAGGGGCCCAAGCCACAUAGCUGGUACUCUGGCCCGACUCCAAAAAGCCAUACCCCACGCCACUGUGAGUCACUGCCUUCCCGAAGCCACACUACCGUCAUGGGAAUGCAGGAAAGGGGGUGUGAGCAAAACAUUUAACCCUUAAGGAUAAAAAACUGUUGAGCCUGGUUGAUCCCUAAGCAUUUGGGGGAUUGUCAAGCCAAGGACCAACUCAGCAGGUUUGGAGAAAGUGCAAAUGCUGCAAAUGACAAAGAAAGGAGGGGACCAGCUCCUGGGAGCUCGCCUCCUGCAAUGGAAUGUCCUUUACUAAAAGGAGUGUCUUUGGACACGUAGGACCCCGGCCCACCGAAGGCCAGAGAGUCUAUGCUAAUCCUAUGGUUUAUAGGGGGAAGGUCUUGGGUCACGCUGUCAUCAUUCGGCCUCUUGAAGGGCUGGAGACAAGAGUAACUAAGGUCAGUUGCCCCAUGCCUUCGUGACUGAUGCCCAGUAAAAAAAUGCUGGCCACCAAGCCGCAGGCGAGCCUUCCUGGCUGGCAACACUUCACACGUCAUCACAUACCCUUGGCAGAAGUGAGCGCGUUCGCUUAGACUCCGCUAGGAGAGGGUAUCUGAGGGCUUGUGUGUAGGCUCUCCCGGACUUCUCUGCGCCUUCUCCCCCUUUGCUGACUUUAGUUUUGAGUAUUUAUUUGGCUGUGUCAGGCCUCCAUCGCAGCGUGCGGGAUCUUUCAUUGCACUGCCGGGCUCUAGAGUACGCAGGCUCAGUAGCUGUUCUGAGCUAUGUGGGAUCUUAGGUCCUCAAGUUCCCACGGAUCCAACCCGCCUUCCCUGCAUCCCAAGGUGCAUUCCUAACCACCAGGGAAGCCCCUCCUUGCUGAUUUUAAUCCACGUCUUUUCACUGUAAUAAACCAUUAACUGUGAGUCCACCAGGUUUGCGCAAUUCCAUGAGUUCUAGCCAACUGCAGAACCCGAGGGCGGCCCUGGGAUUCCCCGACGUGGGAGUUCAGCUUUGCCCUUGCAUGGGCCUAUUCUCCAGCUUUUGCUCUUCAUCAG
ensembl:lncRNA